GAAUUGAUUUUAAAGUCCUUUAUUAUACUAUGUUAACUAAUUAUAAUUUUUGUGUUUCAGUCUUAUCAUGUGUCUAAAUCGAAUGAUGUGCGGCUGUUUUGCAAUGGUUAUUAUGCAGAGAUUCUUGUAAUGGAUAUUCUCACGUUAGAUAUUCUAUUCACUUUAUCCUCACGUGUUAACCCUGAUUGGAUGAGUGCAAUACGCGUCCUGUGAAAAGUCAUGAUGACAUCGUUGUUGGUUUGUCUGCUUCAGGUUAUAUCAAAGUAUGGACAAUUGCUGGAAAUGAAGCUAAAAAUGAACCUGUUUAUGAAGAUGAGUCAAAACCAAUUCGAUUCCUGAAUGCCCUGAAAUUGACCUGUUGUGCUUUUAAUCAAAGGACACUUCUUAUUGAGUAUAGUAAAGUGCGGCGAGCUCACUUCUUAUUGUUUGUCCCAAAUAUUUGCAGGUUUAUGAUGCUGGGGAUUUUUCACUGUUGUGCUCUGCUGAUAAUCCUCGAGAUGAACGUUGGAUGGGUGGUGAUUUCUUAACUACUGACAGAGCUUUAAUUUUUAGUGAUAGUGGAAAAGGAUAUAUGUAUAGAUUACCUUCUAAAAACUGUUUAUGAUGGAUUCAAAUGUAAUACCUAUUACAUAAAGUUAGCAUUAAGUGCUGAUGAUCAAUACCUGGCUUGUGGUUCCAGCAGCAAUAAAGCUUAUGUUUGGAAAGUAAGUUUUAUUUCAUUUUAACUUAUCUGCCACAUUUCUUUAAGUUUAAGCAAAACAUCAAGACACGUGAAAAAAAAUAACUUAGUUCUGGGUGUUCAAAAGGAAAACCUAGAGUUUUCUAGGAAAUUCACAAUCAGCUAUGAAUGUCCAUGGAGUUUUUGCAAUUAAUAAUGAUAACUCAUUUUAACGCAAAUCUUUUUCAAUCCAUUAUAUGGCAUUACGAAAACUUAAUUCAUUGAUGCUAUUAUUUU